CCUACGGGAGGCAGCAGUGAGGAAUAUUGGUCAAUGGACGAGAGUCUGAACCAGCCAAGUAGCGUGAAGGAUGACUGCCCUAUGGGUUGUAAACUUCUUUUAUAUGGGAAUAAAAUGUUCCACGUGUGGGAUUUUGUAUGUACCAUAUGAAUAAGGAACGGCUAACUCCGUGCCAGCAGCCACGGUAAUACGGAGGAUCCGAGCGUUAUCCGGAUUUAUUGGGUUUAAAGGGAGCGUAGGUGGAUUGUUAAGUCAGUUGUGAAAGUUUGCGGCUCAACCGUAAAAUUGCAGUUGAAACUGGCAGUCUUGAGUACAGUAGAGGUAGGCGGAAUUCGUGGUGUAGCGGUGAAAUGCUUAGAUAUCACGAAGAACUCCGAUUGCGAAGGCAGUUCACUGGACUGCCACUGACACUGAGGCUCGAAAGUGUGGGUAUCAAACAGGAUUAGAUACCCCUGUAGUC
rnacentral:rRNA from 1 species